UGGGGAAUUUUGGACAAUGGGGGAAACCCUGAUCCAGCCAUCCCGCGUGUGCGAUGAAGGCCUUCGGGUCGUAAAGCACUUUUGGCAGGAAAGAAACGUCGCGGGUUAAUACCCCGCGAAACUGACGGUACCUGCAGAAUAAGCACCGGCUAACUACGUGCCAGCAGCCGCGGUAAUACGUAGGGUGCAAGCGUUAAUCGGAAUUACUGGGCGUAAAGCGUGCGCAGGCGGUUCGGAAAGAAAGAUGUGAAAUCCCAGAGCUUAACUUUGGAACUGCAUUUUUAACUACCGGGCUAGAGUGUGUCAGAGGGAGGUGGAAUUCCGCGUGUAGCAGUGAAAUGCGUAGAUAUGCGGAGGAACACCGAUGGCGAAGGCAGCCUCCUGGGAUAACACUGACGCUCAUGCACGAAAGCGUGGGGAGCAAACAGGAUUAGAUACCCUGGUAGUCCACGCCCUAAACGAUGUCAACUAGCUGUUGGGGCCUUCGGGCCUUGGUAGCGCAGCUAACGCGUGAAGUUGACCGCCUGGGGAGUACGGUCGCAAGAUUAAAACUCAAAUG
rnacentral:rRNA from 1 species